AUUGAACGCAGGCGGCAGGCCUAACACAUGCAAGUCGAGCGGAGCGGCGGACGGGUGAGUAAUGCCUAGGAAUCUGCCUGGUAGUGGGGGAUAACGUCCGGAAACGGGCGCUAAUACCGCAUACUAUCAGAUGAGCCUAGGUCGGAUUAGCAUGUAGGUGAGGUAACGGCUCACCUAGGCGACGAUCCCUAGCUGGUCUGAGAGGAUGAUCAGCCACACUAGAACUGAGACACUGCCCAGACUCCUACGGGGGGCAGCAGUGAGGAAUAUUGCACAAGGGGCACAAGCCUGAUGCAGCCAUGCCGCGUGUAUGAAGAAGGCCUUCGGGUUGUAAAGUACUUUCAGUCGGGAUGCGUUACCGACAGAAGAAGCACCGGCUAACUCCGUGCCAGCAGCCGCGGGAAUUC
rnacentral:rRNA from 1 species